rnacentral:lncRNA from 1 species
GCUAUUUUUAGGCCUCGCUGGGAAUUUCUUAGUGUUUAUUAAAGACUAUGCUAAAGAGACAAAGUGUCUAACAACCUUAAGUCAAGAAGCUGUUCUUUACUAGAGAGUGUGGGGGAAGCACAUGCAUCCAUUUCCUCCUGCGUACUCACAUUGUCACGUUCACACGCUGUGGAUGCGUCGAGAGCCGGCGUAGACAUGGGAGAGAGCAAACACCGAGUGCUGAAAGGCUUAGCCGCAUGUCCGAGGAUUCCGCGCGCGAAUCACGGUCGUGAAGUCCGCGUCGCCGAUGCUCGGAAUGCUUAGCCGCGGGUCCGAGACGU